UGGGGAAUAUUGGGCAAUGGGCGCAAGCCUGACCCAGCAACGCCGCGUGAAGGAUGAAGGCUUUCGGGUUGUAAACUUCUUUUAUCAGGGACGAAUCAAGUGACGGUACCUGAUGAAUAAGCCACGGCUAACUACGUGCCAGCAGCCGCGGUAAUACGGAGGGUGCAAGCGUUAAUCGGAAUAACUGGGCGUAAAGGGCAUGCAGGCGGUUCAUCAAGUAGGAUGUGAAAUCCCCGGGCUCAACCUGGGAACAGCAUACUAAACUGGUGGACUAGAGUAUUGCAGGGGGAGACGGAAUUCCAGGUGUAGCGGUGGAAUGCGUAGAUAUCUGGAAGAACACCAAAGGCGAAGGCAGUCUCCUGGGCAAAUACUGACGCUCAUAUGCGAAAGCGUGGGUAGCAAACAGGAUUAGAUACCCUGGUA
rnacentral:rRNA from 1 species